GACGAACGCUGGCGGCGUGCUUAACACAUGCAAGUCGAGCGAUGAAGCUCCUUCGGGAGUGGAUUAGCGGCGGACGGGUGAGUAACACGUGGGCAACCUGCCUUAUAGAGAGGAAUAGCCAUCCGAAAGGAUGAUUAAUACCUCAUAAUAUUGUAGCUUCGCAUGGAGCAACAAUCAAAGGAGCAAUCCGCUAUAAGAUGGGCCCGCGGCGCAUUAGCUAGUUGGUGAGGUAAUGGCUCACCAAGGCGACGAUGCGUAGCCGACCUGAGAGGGUGAUCGGCCACAUUGGGACUGAGACACGGCCCAGACUCCUACGGGAGGCAGCAGUGGGGAAUAUUGCACAAUGGGGGAAACCCUGAUGCAGCAACGCCGCGUGAGUGAUGACGGCCUUCGGGUUGUAAAGCUCUGUCUUCAGGGACGAUAAUGACGGUACCUGAGGAGGAAGCCACGGCUAACUACGUGCCAGCCGCCGCCGUAA
rnacentral:rRNA from 1 species